rnacentral:rRNA from 1 species
UACAGAGGUCUCAAGCGUUGUUCGGAUUCAUUGGGCGUAAAGGGUGGGUAGGCGGCGCGGUAAGUCGGAUGUGAAAUCUCGGAGCUUAACUCCGAAACUGCAUUCGAUACUGCCGUGCUUGAGGACUGGAGAGGAGACUGGAAUUUACGGUGUAGCGGUGAAAUGCGUAGAUAUCGUAAGGAAGACCAGUGGCGAAGGCGAAUCUCUGGACAGUUACUGACACUGAGGCACGAAGGCCAGGGGAGCAAACGGG